rnacentral:rRNA from 1 species
CGGUGUUUAACUGGCGUGAUGUGGGACGUCCUACCGGUGGGCUUAGCCUCGCGAGGGGCGGCCCAACUAAUAUCCCGUCGCGGUGCUCUUUACUGAGUGUCGAGUCGGGCCGGUACGUUUACUUUGAACAAAUUAGAGUGCUUAAAGCAGGCUAUCCUCGCCUGAAUACUGCGUGCAUGGAAUAAUGGAAUAGGACCUCGGUUCUAUUUUGUUGGUUUUCGGAACCCCGAGGUAAUGAUUAAUAGGGACAGAUGGGGGCAUUCGUAUUGCGACGUUAGAGGUGAAAUUCUUGGAUCGUCGCAAGACGGACAGAAGCGAGAGCAUUUGCCAAAAAUGUUUUCAUUAAUCAAGAACGAAAGUUAGAGGUUCGAAGGCGAUCAGAUACCGCCCUAGUUCUAACCAUAAACGAUGCCAGCUAGCGAUCCGCCGAAGUUCCUCCGAUGACUCGGCGGGCAGCUUCCGGGAAACCAAAGCUUUUGGGUUCCGGGGGAAGUAUGGUUGCAAAGCUGAAACUUAAAGGAAUUGACGGAAGGGCACCACCAGGAGUGGAGCCUGCGGCUUAAUUUGACUCAACACGGGAAACCUCACCAGGCCCAGACACCGGAAGGAUUGACAGAUUGAUAGCUCUUUCUUGAUUCGGUGGGUGGUGGUGCAUGGCCGUUCUUAGUUGGUGGAGCGAUUUGUCUGGUUAAUUCCGAUAACGAACGAGACUCUAGCCUGCUAAAUAGGCGUACCUUAUGGUAUCGCGAAGGCCCCCGGCUUCGGCCGGUGGGUUUUUACUACCAACGUACAAACAAAUCUUCUUAGAGGGACAGGCGG